rnacentral:rRNA from 1 species
CUACGUGCCAGCAGCCGCGGUAAUACGGAGGAUGCGAGCGUUAUCCGGAUUUAUUGGGUUUAAAGGGUGCGUAGGCGGCCUGUUAAGUCAGCGGUGAAAUCUAGGAGCUUAACUCCUAAAUUGCCAUUGAUACUGGCGGGCUUGAGUGUAGAUGAGGUAGGCGGAAUGCGUGGUGUAGCGGUGGAAUGCAUAGAUAUCACGCAGAACUCCGAUUGCGAAGGCAGCUUACUAAGGUACAACUGACGCUGAAGCACGAAAGCGUGGGUAUCAAACAGGAUUAGAUACCCUGGUAGUCCACGCUGUAAACGAUGGAUACUAGCUGUUUGGUUGCAAGACUGAGUGGCUAAGCGAAAGUGAUAAGUAUCCCACCUGGGGAGUACGCACGCAAGUGUGAAACUCAAAGGAAUUGACGGGGGCCCGCACAAGCGGUGGAGCAUGUGGUUUAAUUCGAUGAUACGCGAGGAACCUUACCAAGGUUUAAAUGGAGACUGACGUACUUAGAGAUAGGUAUU